rnacentral:tRNA from 1 species
CGGGGUGUAGCUCAGCCUGGAAGAGCGCUGGCUUCGGGAGCCAGGGGUCGGAGGUUCAAAUCCUCUCACCCCGA